rnacentral:rRNA from 1 species
CGAUUAAGCCAUGCGAGUCGAGAGUCCUCGGGACUCGGCGUACCGCUCAGUAACACGUGGGUAACCUGCCCUAUGCUGGGGAAUAACCUCGGGAAACUGAGAAUAAUGCCCCAUAGCCCACUACGCCUGGAACGGUGAGUGGGUCAAAGCCCCGGCGGCAUAGGAUGGGCCUGCGCCGUAUCAGGUUGUAGGGGGUGUAAAGUACCCUCUAGCCAUCAACGCGUACGGGUGUUGGGAGACAUUGCCCGGAGAUGGAUUCUGAGACACGAAUCCAGACCCUACGGGGUGCAGCAGGCGCGAAAACUUGGCAAUGCGAGAAAUCGUGACCAGGGAACUCCAAGUGCGUAGGGUAAGACCUACGCUUUUCUUGACUCUUCAAAGGUCUUGGAAUAAGGGGUGGGUAAGGACGGUGCCAGCCGCCGCGGUAAUACCGGCGCCUCAAGUGGUAGUCGCUUUUAUUGGGCCUAAAACGUCCGUAGCCGGUCUGGUGCAUUCGUGGGUAAAUCAACCCGCUCAACGGGUUGAAUUCUGCGAGCACGGCCAGACUUGGGACCGGGAGAGGUGUGGGGUACUCUCAGGGUAGGGGUAAAAUCCUGUCAUCCUGAGAGGACCACCUGUUGCGAAGGCGCCACACUAGAACGGAUCCGACGGUCAGGGACGAAACCUAGGGGCACGAACCGGAUUAGAUACCCGGGUAGUCCUAGGUGUAAACGCUGUGGACUUGAUGUUGGGGGCGCUCCGAGCGCUCUCAGUGUCGAAGCGAAGGUGAUAAGUCCACUGCCUGGGGAGUACGGUCGCAAGGCUGAAACUUAAAGGAAUUGGCGGGGGAGCACUGC